ACAGCAGCAGCCGCGGUAAUACGAAGGGGGCUAGCGUUGCUCGGAAUUACUGGGCGUAAAGGGAGCGUAGGCGGAUCGUUAAGUUGGGGGUGAAAGCCCGGGGCUCAACCUCGGAAUUGCCUUCAAUACUGGCGAUCUUGAGUAUGGAAGAGGUAUGUGGAACUCCGAGUGUAGAGGUGAAAUUCGUAGAUAUUGGGAAGAACACCGGUGGCGAAGGCGGCGACCUGGUCCUUGACUGACGCUGAGGCGCGAAAGCGUGGGGAGCAAACAGGAUUAGAUACCCCGGUAGUCCCUGUCUCUUAUAC
rnacentral:rRNA from 1 species